rnacentral:rRNA from 1 species
CUCAGGAUGAACGCUGGCGGCGUGCUUAACACAUGCAAGUCGAGCGAGAAAAGUUCUUCGGAGCUUUUCUAGCGGCGGACGGGUGAGUAACACGUGGGCAACCUGCCUCAUAGAGGGGAAUAGCCUUCCGAAAGGAAGAUUAAUACCGCAUAACAUUGUUGAAAGGCAUCUUUUAACAAUCAAAGGAGCAAUCCGCUAUGAGAUGGGCUCGCGGCGCAUUAGCUAGUUGGUGAGGUAACGGCUCACCAAGGCGACGAUGCGUAGCCGACCUGAGAGGGUGAUCGGCCACAUUGGAACUGAGACACGGUCCAGACUCCUACGGGAGGCAGCAGUGGGGAAUAUUGCGCAAUGGGCGAAAGCCUGACGCAGCGACGCCGCGUGCGGGUCGGAGGCCCCCGGGCCGUAAACCGCUUUCAGCGGGGACGAUCGUGACUGUACCCGCAGAAGAAGCCCCGGCUAACUACGUGCCAGCAGCCGCGGUAAUACGUAGGUGGCAAGCGUUGUCCGGAAUUAUUGGGCGUAAAGCGCGCGCAGGCGGCCUCUUAAGUCCAUCUUAAAAGUGCGGGGCUUAACCCCGUGAUGGGGUGGAAACUGAGAGGCUGGAGUAUCGGAGAGGAAAGUGGAAUUCCUAGCGUAGCGGUGAAAUGCGUAGAGAUUAGGAAGAACACCGGUGGCGAAGGCGACUUUCUGGACGACAACUGACGCUGAGGCGCGAAAGCGUGGGGAGCAAACAGGAUUAGAUACCCUGGUAGUCCACGCCGUAAACGAUGGAUACUAGGUGUGGGAGGUAUUGACCCCUUCCGUGUCGCAGUUAACACAUUAAGUAUCCCACCUGGGGAGUACGACCGCAAGGUUGAAACUCAAAGGAAUUGACGGGGGCCCGCACAAGCAGUGGAGUAUGUGGUUUAAUUCGAAGCAACGCGAAGAACCUUACCUGGUCUUGACAUCCCGAUGACCGGUCUAGAGAUAGACUUUUCUCUUCGGAGACAUCGGUGACAGGUGGUGCAUGGUUGUCGUCAGCUCGUGUCGUGAGAUGUUGGGUUAAGUCCCGCAACGAGCGCAACCCUUAUUGUUAGUUGAUACAUUUAGUUGAUCACUCUAGCGAGACUGCCGUUGACAAAACGGAGGAAGGCGGGGACGACGUCAAGUCAUCAUGGCCCUUAUGCCCGGGGCUACACACGUGCUACAAUAGCCGGCACAGAGCGUGGCGACGCGGCGACGCGGAGCGGACCGCUGAAAGCCGGCCCCAGUCCGGAUCGGAGUCUGAAACCCGACUCCGUGAAGUUGGAAUCGCUAGUAAUCGCGCAUCAGCACGGCGCGGUGAAUA